rnacentral:tRNA from 1 species
GGGAAGGUGGCUCAGUGGUAGAGCACUUGUCUUGCAUACUUGAGACCCUGGGUUCA